rnacentral:rRNA from 1 species
UUAAAGGGCUGCAGUAUAUUGACUGUACAAAGGUAGCAUAAUCAUUAGUCAUUUAAUUGAUGACUUGUAUGAAGGAUUUGAUGAGAUAUAAACUGUCUCUUAUUUAAUUAUAAAAUUUAAUUUUUUUAUUAAAAAGUUAAAAUAUUUUAAAAAGACGAGAAGACCCUAUAGAGUUUAAUAAAUUAUUAAAUUGAGAUUAUAUGUAAAACAAAUUUAAAAUUAAAUUGUUUAUUUUGUUGGGGUGACAAAAAAAUACAUUAAACUUUUUUUUUUAAAAAAACAUUUAUAAGUGAUUAAAUGAUCCAAUAAUAUUGAUUAUGAGAAAAAAUUACCUUAGGGAUAACAGCGUAAUUUUUUUUUUUAGUUCAAAUAAGAAAAAGAGUUUGCGACCUCGAUGUUGGAUUAAGAUAAAAUUUAAAUGUAGAAG